rnacentral:tRNA from 1 species
GGCGACAUGGCCGAGCGGUCUAAGGCGCUGGUUUUAGGCACCAGUCUCUUCGGAGGCGUGGGUUCGAAUCCCAAUCUCGUCA